rnacentral:rRNA from 1 species
CCUACGGGAGGCAGCAGUGAGGGAUAUUGGUCAAUGGACGAGAGUCUGAACCAGCCAAGUAGCGUGAAGGAUGACUGCCCUAUGGGUUGUAAACUUCUUUUAUAAAGGAAUAAAACGAGGCACGUGUGCCUUUUUGCAUGUACUUUAUGAAUAAGGAUCGGCUAACUCCGUGCCAGCAGCCGCGGUAAUACGGAGGAUCCGAGCGUUAUCCGGAUUUCUUGGGUUUAAAGGGAGCGUAGAUGGGUUGUUAAGUCAGUUGUGAAAGUUUGCGGCUCAACCGUAAAAUUGCAAUGGAUACUGGCAGUCUUGAGUACAGUUGAGGUAAGCGGAAUUCGUGGUGUAGCGGUGAAAUGCUUAGAUAUCACGAAGAACCCCGAUUGCGAAGGCAGCUUACUAAACUGUGACUGACAUUGAUGCUCGAAAGUGUGGGUAUCAAACAGGAUUAGAUACCCCUGUAGUC